rnacentral:piRNA from 1 species
GAAGCAGGUGAAGAAUUCUCCUCUGAG